UGGAUCCUUCCUAGUGUAGUCCUCAGCAGGUCUGAUCACCAAUGUGCACGGCAGGGUCUGUAUGCAUAACCAAAACCACAGUACAGCCGUGUAGUGUGUGUGCAUGUGAGGCUGUGUUUCUAGGAAGCCUCAUAUUGUAAGAGCUGGAAGACACCAAUCUAUUCUCUUAGGUGGAUGACAGUCAAGUGAGUGCAGCUACAGAGGAGGAAGGGAGAGGGAGACAGACAUGUCUGAACUGUCAAAUUCUCCCAGCAGCUCCAACAGCGGGAGCCUGCAGUGAAGACCAUGGUGACACAGGCUGUUCCCCUGCAGCCCACGGAGGUCCAUGGCAGAGCAGAUAUGCACCCUGCAGCCGAUGGAGGACCCCUCGCCAGAGCAGGCGGAUUCACCCGAAGGAGGCUGUGACGCUGUGGAGAGGAGCCCACGCUGGAGCAGGUUUUCUGGCAGGACCUGCGGCCCCAUGGGAGUGACACCACACUGGAACAGAAUAAGAGCACAAAGAAGGAAGGAGCAGCAGAGACAACUUGUGAUGAACUGACUGCAACCCCCCGCUCCUUCUCCCCCUGUGCUGCUCGGUAGGAGGAGGUAGAGAAGUCAGGAGUGAAGAUGAGCCCAGGAAAAAAAGAGAGGGGUGGGGGGAAGGUGUUUUUCAGAUUUGUUCGUAUUUCUCAUUAUUGUACUCUGAUUUUGACUGACAAUAAAUUAAUUUCCCCAAGUCGA